AUACGGAGGGUGCAAGCGUUAAUCGGAAUUACUGGGCGUAAAGCGCGCGUAGGCGGUUUAGUCAGUCAGAUGUGAAAGCCCCGGGCUCAACCUGGGAACUGCAUUUGAUACUGCUGAACUAGAGUAUGGUAGAGGGAAGUGGAAUUCCGGGUGUAGCGGUGAAAUGCGUAGAUAUCCGGAGGAACACCAGUGGCGAAGGCGACUUCCUGGACCAAUACUGACGCUGAGGUGCGAAAGCGUGGGUAGCAAACAGGAUUAGAUACCCGAGUAGUCC
rnacentral:rRNA from 1 species